rnacentral:rRNA from 1 species
UACGUAGGGUGCGAGCGUUGUCCGGAAUUAUUGGGCGUAAAGAGCUUGUAGGCGGUCUGUCGCGUCUGCUGUGAAAAUCCGGGGCUCAACCCCGGACUUGCAGUGGGUACGGGCAGACUAGAGUGUGGUAGGGGAGACUGGAAUUCCCAGUGUAGCGGUGAAAUGCGUAGAUAUUGGGAGGAACACCGGUGGCGAAGGCGGCAUCCUGGACCAAUUCUGACACUGAGGAGCGAAAGCCAGGGGAGCAAACGGG